rnacentral:lncRNA from 1 species
CCACUCUUAAAUUUUGCUUACCCGAACCUAAACAUUUUACCUAUCCAAUGCGACCUAUCAUGAUACUAUAGAAUUCACAAACUUGAUUCCGAAUUAAGCAAAAUAACAACGAACCAACAUUAAACCAAAUUUACCCUUUUAUCAAUCUCGCAAUUCCACCCCAAAUUCUCUUCUUAACACUAAAUUUCCACAAUUCACGAUUUCUAUUUCAACAAUCCACAAUCACUUUUCAAUGAAAAUUAAGCAACAAGUCAAUAUCAAAGUAGCAAUUCAUCACCAAUCAAGAUCAAACAACACACGAGAUUCCAUCCAAUG